rnacentral:lncRNA from 1 species
UGGGGAAGUGAGGAUCGCGAUCAGAAGGCAAGAACAAGGGGGAAACCCUAACUCAUCAAUUAACAUCGAAAUUCAGCAAGAUUGUGGAGGAUUCUUGUCAUAAAUCGAAUGCUUGUGCUUAAUUAUUCCCUAAUCCAAGUGAUUGAAAGAAGAAGGAGCUAGUUCCGGUUCACAAACAAAGGCUCAAGAUCGAGGUAAAACUCAAGCAUAAAUGUCAUUGCCUCACUCGGAUACGAACACACCUUGAUCAUCCUUGAUGCGCUUCCGCAACUUUUGUAGAAUCUUUAAUGGUUAAAAGCUUUUGUUAAAGUUAGUUUGUGUUUGAAGUUUUCGAACUUUAACUCGUUGGUUGUAAAUAUUUUAAGCACCUUAAACUUGACGUUUUGAACGGUGGUUUAAAAUGUUAUGGUCUUUCUUAUGUCUUACGGAAAGUGUCGUUAUUUAAGUAUUUUGAUAAAUCGUAAACAGGGAAAUUAUUCAAAACACGAAAGGGUCAUGUCCAAAUUUUAAAUUUUGGUGAUAAAGUUAUGUGUCAUGUUGUAAUUCUUCGAGUAUGAACAU